rnacentral:rRNA from 1 species
CCUACGGGUGACAGCAGUGAGGAAUAUUGGUCAAUGGGCUUACGCCUGAACCAGCCAAGUCGCGUGAGGGAAGACUGCCCUAUGGGUUGUAAACCUCUUUUGUCAGGGAGCAACGCCGGCUACGUGUAGCCGGACGGAGAGUACCUGAAGAAAAAGCAGCGGCGAACUCCGUGCCAGCGGCCGCGGUAAUACGGAGGAUGCGAGCGUUAUCCGGAUUUAUUGGGUUUAAAGGGUGCGUAGGCGGAAUGCCAAGUCAGCGGGAAAAUCGCGGGGCUCAACCUCGCUCCGCCGUUGAAACUGGCGUUCUUGCGUGGGCGAGAAGUAUGCGGCAUGCGUGGUGUAGCGGU